rnacentral:rRNA from 1 species
GUGCCAGCCGCCGCGGUAAUACGUAGGCAGCAAACGUUGUUCGGAGUUACUGGGCGUAAAGAGUACGUAGGCGGUUUGCUAAGUUUGGUGUGAAAUCUCCCGGCUUAACUGGGAGGGUGCGCCGAAAACUGGCGAGCUUGAGUGUGGGAGAGGGAAGCGGAAUUCCUGGUGUAGCGGUGAAAUGCGUAGAUAUCAGGAGGAACACCGGUGGUGUAGACGGCUUCCUGGACCACAACUGACGCUGAGGUACGAAAGCGUGGGGAGCAAACAGGAUUAGAAACCCCGGUAGUCC